rnacentral:tRNA from 1 species
GGGCGAUUAGUGUUAAUGGGAGCACGUCAGUUUUGCACACUGAUAGAGGGGGUUCGAGUCCCCCAUUGUCCAC